GCAACCCUUUACCUGAUUUUCAGAGUCUUAAGGAUGAUCUCUCUGCCAAUUUGCUGGUUGUUUAAAGAUUCUUUGGGAAACUGGCACCCUGGAAUAUUUUCUACCACUGUCUUGGUCAAUCAGGGUUUGGAAGUCAUCAUUCUCAACGUACCAACAAGAAAAAAUUUAACAAACUGAAAAACACCUCUUCUUAGAUCCAUGAGGGAAUUGAAGUCACAGAACAAACUGCUGCCUGAGAACUGGAGAGAGGCAGAAAGAGUGAGUCACAAUUUUCUGGAGCAGACCUUCUCUGCUGGAAGCUAAAAGAGUUAUCAGAAACUUUAAUAUCACAUCUUGAGAGCCGGGGUGAGCAGUCAAUCACAAAAAGCUACAAGCCUGGCUGCUCCAUCAAAUUCUUGAGUGUUGUAUGGUCAGAGCACUGAACCUCCAGAUUGGCCACCACCGAAGAACCUCUCCUGUUUGUAAGUCCCAAUAAAUCUAUGCCUAUCUCUGUGCCUGCCAUGCUUUUCAGUGCCACAGCAGCACCAGCCCGUGCUCUGCAUGAACACAUUCUGGGCCCAAACACUGAUCUAUGAUAUUAUAUUUCUUUAUUUAUUGAGACCAUUAAAAGUUUCUCUCAGAAAUGUUUUGUAGUUUUCAGUGUACAGGUCUUGGACAUAUGUUGUUAAA